rnacentral:rRNA from 1 species
GACGAACGCUGGCGGCGUGCUUAACACAUGCAAGUCGAACGGAAAGGCCCUGCUUUUGUGGGGUGCUCGAGUGGCGAACGGGUGAGUAACACGUGAGUAACCUGCCCUUGACUUUGGGAUAACUUCAGGAAACUGGGGCUAAUACCGGAUAGGAGCUCCUGCUGCAUGGUGGGGGUUGGAAAGUUUCGGCGGUUGGGGAUGGACUCGCGGCUUAUCAGCUUGUUGGUGGGGUAGUGGCUUACCAAGGCUUUGACGGGUAGCCGGCCUGAGAGGGUGACCGGCCACAUUGGGACUGAGAUACGGCCCAGACUCCUACGGGAGGCAGCAGUGGGGAAUAUUGCACAAUGGGCGGAAGCCUGAUGCAGCAACGCCGCGUGCGGGAUGACGGCCUUCGGGUUGUAAACCGCUUUCGCCUGUGACGAAGCGUGAGUGACGGUAAUGGGUAAAGAAGCACCGGCUAACUACGUGCCAGCAGCCGCGGUGAUACGUAGGGUGCGAGCGUUGUCCGGAUUUAUUGGGCGUAAAGGGCUCGUAGGUGGUUGAUCGCGUCGGAAGUGUAAUCUUGGGGCUUAACCCUGAGCGUGCUUUCGAUACGGGUUGACUUGAGGAAGGUAGGGGAGAAUGGAAUUCCUGGUGGAGCGGUGGAAUGCGCAGAUAUCAGGAGGAACACCAGUGGCGAAGGCGGUUCUCUGGGCCUUUCCUGACGCUGAGGAGCGAAAGCGUGGGGAGCGAACAGGCUUAGAUACCCUGGUAGUCCACGCUGUAAACGGUGGGUACUAGGUGUGGGGUCCAUUCCACGGGUUCCGUGCCGUAGCUAACGCUUUAAGUACCCCGCCUGGGGAGUACGGCCGCAAGGCUAAAACUCAAAGGAAUUGACGGGGCCCCGCACAAGCGGCGGAGCAUGCGGAUUAAUUCGAUGCAACGCGUAGAACCUUACCUGGGUUUGACAUGGAUCGGGAGUGCUCAGAGAUGGGUGUGCCUCUUUUGGGGUCGGUUCACAGGUGGUGCAUGGCUGUCGUCAGCUCGUGUCGUGAGAUGUUGGGUUAAGUCCCGCAACGAGCGCAACCCUUGUUCACUGUUGCCAGCACGUUAUGGUGGGGACUCAGUGGAGACCGCCGGGGUCAACUCGGAGGAAGGUGGGGAUGACGUCAAGUCAUCAUGCCCCUUAUGUCCAGGGCUUCACGCAUGCUACAAUGGCUGGUACAGAGAGUGGCGAGCCUGUGAGGGUGAGCGAAUCUCGGAAAGCCGGUCUCAGCUCGGAUUGGGGUCUGCAACUCGACCUCAUGAAGUCGGAGUCGCUAGUAAUCGCAGAUCGGCAACGCUGCGGUGAAUAAAUUCCCGGG